rnacentral:rRNA from 1 species
AGUGAACGCUGGCGUUAGGCCUAACACAUGCAAGUCGAGCGGCAGCACAGUAAGAGCUUGCUCUUACGGGUGGCGAGUGGCGGACGGGUGAGGAAUACAUCGGAAUCUACUUUUUCGUGGGGGAUAACGUAGGGAAACUUACGCUAAUACCGCAUACGACCUACGGGUGAAAGCAGGGGAUCUUCGGACCUUGCGCGAUUGAAUGAGCCGAUGUCGGAUUAGCUAGUUGGCGGGGUAAAGGCCCACCAAGGCGACGAUCCGUAGCUGGUCUGAGAGGAUGAUCAGCCACACUGGAACUGAGACACGGUCCAGACUCCUACGGGAGGCAGCAGUGGGGAAUAUUGGACAAUGGGCGCAAGCCUGAUCCAGCCAUACCGCGUGGGUGAAGAAGGCCUUCGGGUUGUAAAGCCCUUUUGUUGGGAAAGAAAAGCAGCAGGUUAAUACCCCGCUGUUCUGACGGUACCCAAAGAAUAAGCACCGGCUAACUUCGUG